AUGCCGUGACGGUUCAUCGUCAUCGGUUCGCUCCCGACGCACAUAUGUCAAUGGCACGCAGGGCGCGAAUCCGGGCGUCGUGACGCUGUCGCAAACCCGGACUCAUUGACGCGGACAUCCGAACGGUCUUCGACCGGACGUGGAUGUCCGCCGAUUUCUUU
rfam:Burkholderia glumae PG1 chromosome 2, complete sequence.